rnacentral:lncRNA from 1 species
UUUAUGUUUCUUCUUGUACUUUCAUCGAGCUUGUUCUUGGCAAGCUUCUUUCUCUCCUUUUCAUUUUGACGGGAGUGAUGGACGGAAGAGAGCGUCCUUCAGUCCACUCACAGGCGGUGCUAGGAUCGAAUUAGCUGCCGACUCAUUCGUCCACUUGCCGAGCAAAGUUAUUUGCCGAGGAGCUUAGCAGGUGAGUGAAUGAAGCGGGAGGUAAAGUCUUUGAUCUCGCACCGUCGUUGCUUGGACUGAAGGGUGCUCCCUCCUCCUCUCUAAGCCAUGUUAUGUAGCACGGCACCUGCUUGAUCUGCUCGUUUCUUCGGGCGCCAUACCGCCUGAUCGAUCUGAUCUGUUCUUUUCGAGCUUCUCCGGCAUGAAAUGAUAGAACCUGUGUCGCUCUGGUGUGCUUGCAGUUCUAGUUUGGCUCUUCUUUAAUUUAGUCCGGUAAUGGAUGUCGAGGCUCAAUUUUUCUACUUGUUUAACCAGGCCUUUGUACUAAAAAUCCUUGAUCUGCUCACAGAAGCCUUGUUUUUCUGAAAGCGCAUCUGCUUUGGGUACCUGCGAUGACAUCCUAGAUGCAUGGUACAGCUCUCGUUCUCGUAGCUAGAAUGCUAGAUACGGGCUCGAUCUCCAUCCUGUGUGCGUUUUCUCUACUUUUUUGCACUCCGUGAUGUGAUCUGUCGACGCACUGUUGCAGGCUGGGACAAAACGAAAUUGCUCCAUGGACGACAUGUGCUGGCCGACCUGCGGACGAUCAAACAAUCCAGCGGCCCUUGCAAAGUCAAUCAUACGCAUGUGUGGCUGAUUUAACCUGUCGUCUUAGAAUCGUCUGAAAAAAUCGUGUGUAUAGCAAGAGUCGGGACAAAAUACGGUGCUUUGCUUGCUUUUGCUGGUGUGGGGGAUCGAUCGAUCACAUCGCGCGUCUUUGGGGUCGUGCAAACAGUGAGACGUCUUUCGAUCUCCCUGUUUGCUUUGGAACUUGGCACGCAACCAGGAUGAUUGGACUGGACGUGUGCGUGGCCCUGGUGCUAUGCUAUGCUAGGCUAGCUUUCGGAGCAUGGUCACCACAUGGAUUCGGUCGAGUUCCCCAAACGUUUUUAUCAUCUCCCCGAGGGCUCUUAGGGGCCUAAGUACCCUAUUAAUCUUAGAUUUGUGGUGUACAGUGGAGUAGUUUAUAACCCACUUAUGUUUUUGCAUCUGGAUAUUCUCCCCCCUCGCAUGGAAAUAUGUGAGCAUGCAUGUCGGCUUGUGAUGUGAUUUUAUCAAGUCAGGAUAUGAACAACGUUGUACUCUUUGUAAGCAUGUUGUCAUUAUUUUCACCGAAAUAGUUAUGAAAAAAAUCCUAAUUAGUAUGAUUUCUGGAGAUGCAUCCGGUAGAGUGCUUGUUUACUAGACCUCUCAUUAUUUUACAGAAGUCCUAACAAUAUUAGGUCUUGUUUUGUGCUGCUAGCUAGCUGUUGGUAGAAUUAUUUUACAGUAGUAUGCAUGGUCUGUGUUGGCUUCAUGAGUACAAUUGUUCAUGAUGACUUGAUUGGUGCAAUAAUCUGUCAUACCUAUAUAUAUGUAUUAGUACACACUUUGAAGCAAUUUCGUCCUCUUCAGUUUUCCUAUCUUGUUCAUCUGCAGUCUACAUAUUCAGUUCCAAUUAUUCUCUCAACCUCUUGACAUUUGCCUUCUUGUGAUGGCUAUUAAUUUCUGUACCAAACAGCUUAACAAAUACAGUGACCAGAAAUAUGAUGCCAUGGACAUGAUUAGGAGCUAUGUGCAUUGUUGAGCAGUACUCCACUAUAUAAUGCUUUAUCAUCAACCACACUGCACACGUACGAUGGCUGCUCGCAGAUCUUGUUUGUGAUGAUAGCAAGCGUGCAUGGACUCUCCUUGAAUUGCUGGAUGUUAUUGGUGGGGCUGGGGGUUACUGCGCAGGCCGGCCCGCUAUGUCGGUCAAAGCUGUGGGAGGCACUGUCUAGCCUUUUCACUGCAGAUUAAUGUUCUGUUCUUGACUGCCUCCUUUUGUACUCCCAUGUCCUCCUUUUCAUCGCCAAUUAAUGGUCCGUGAUCCUGAAGAAAGGCGGUGAAUUAGUGAUGGGGUUGCAGACAUGUGCUGCUGCUUCGGGACAUAGCUAGGAAUUAAUGUUGGAGCCAGGCAUAUUUUGCAAAUGCAACGGUACUGCCAGCGCAUGUAGAUGUAGUACUGAUUGUUGCUUACGAAUCUAGUGCGAUGUGUGUGGCUCCUGUGUGUUGUUGAGUGUUAAUUUGCAGCCAAUGUACCCCUAUGUGGUUCUUCAUCGUGUUUUGCAAUUGUGAUUGUCACGCACUCUUGCUAAAUGGCAAACUGGUACUGUAUUAUUUUUCAUUUUCACUUCAAUAUGGAUUCACCAAUAAGUAGAUUAAUUGGCAACCACUGAGUCUCUACUGGUGCUUUUUAUUGUUCACAUAACAUACAUACAUGUGCUUCACUGGGUCUCUACUGUGGUGCACUGGUCAUGCAAUUUUGAAAGAUUGUCUUGAUCAGUAAUUUUAUGAUAUCUUGAUAAAUGUUUUUAAUGACGUACGGUAGGUUCCAGGUUUGCUUUUUCUGGCAAUAGUUACCUAGUGUGCUACUAGCAAGUUAUC